UCUUCCUUCCCCCUCAGCCGCGGGGGGUGGCCCAGGAGCGGGGGAAGACGGUUCCCGCCCUCUCGCGGUGCUGACAGGGGUGCGGGCGGUAGCGCUGAGGUGGCCCUGACCGUGUUAUGGGACCGCUGAGAUUAUUUAUUUGUUCUUAUCCCACUCAUGUUCUUUUGUUAGAAGGUACAGCUUUAUAACGUUUACAACGGUAGGAGGGCUGUGGAAAGGCCAUGCAUAUCAUAGAGUUACAGAGUGGGUUGAAAGGGACCUUACAGCUCAUCCAGUUCCAACCCCCUGCCACGGGCAGGGACACCUUCCACUAGAGCAGGUUGCUUAAGCAUGUGUGAAUACAUGUAUUACACUGCACUUAUCUCGAGGUAGAAUGGUCUGACCUGAGUCAGAUUUUCUCACAGAAAUGAGUCUUUUUUAGAAAGACUGCAGGGUGGGUUGUUUUGGUUUUUAAUGUAUUUUUCCCCGUAGCAAGCCUACCCCAUUUUUUUAAAUCACCAUGGUUCUGAUGAUGAGUUUCAUGCGUUUCGCCUGGUUUGAGCCUUUUUUUUCUGGUGAAUCCGAAUUUACCACCCUGCUGCUGUGAUAAACAGAUGCUUGUACAUCUUUGCACUUCUUGAUAAUCAACGCUAUUGGAACUCUUUCCUCUUUUGUUUUAGUUCUUGUAAUCUUUCAUUGUAUAAGUAUUACUGUUUCAUUUUUCUUUGUUUUUAGAAUAUGUGUUUCUGAAUCGAAGCUGUGUAAUGGUUCAUUACAAUAAGAAUUUGAACAUCUUUAAGAGAAAGAGAUGCCGUGCAGGAGAGGAAGGCAGUCUACUCUGGAGUUGCUACUGAUAGCCAGGGAUAAGCAACACAGUAUGGGCUACCUAAAGGAUGUAAUGCAGUAAUCAAAAAGAGCAAAGUCAUUUUCAGGUUGUAGUCGCCAUGAAACUUGAGGUUUUAGGCAGAAGUCAUGUUCUGUUCAUCAUAAAGCAGUGAAGUUUCUACCUUCUAAAAACAGUGCUUUCAUUUCCCUCUUCUUGCUAUUGCACACAGAAGAGCUUAGCCCUUUAGCAAGGAUUUCACAGCAAAAUAACUUCGAUCUGGUUGCUGUCUGUCACAGCUGAACAGAAACUCUCCAACAGCUCUUUAAUGGAAAACAUUUAAGAUUAAAAUAGCUAUUAAUUUUUAAUUGGGUUUUGUGUUUUCAGUUGCAUUUAUGACCCAAAAAAGGGUGAUGCCAGUGCCUCUCUCUCGUGUAGAACAGCACAUAUGGUAAACUCUGGUUUGGCAUUUAUGUAAAUGAAGUGGUAAGUAAAAUGUUUGGAAGUGGAUAGCAUUUAUUAAUACAUAAUCCCAAAGUUCCUGCCAGAAGGUCUGGUAAGACGUUAAUAUUAAUGCUCGAAUUGAGCUCUUUAUCUUUUCUAAUAUAGAAUAUUUUAUUAACAAGCUAAUUAGCAGAAACUUAAGAAAGGUUCACCCAGUUAUAUUAACAAGAACAGCUGCUGUGAUAUGACAUUGAAAGUGAGCUAUCUCUUAAAAAUAUUCAUUUGGGCCAAGGAGUGAACCAAGAAAUAAUAAAGGAGUGCCACUUACCUAAACAUGGUUCCCAGUAUUAACUUCUUACAGGCUGAAAGCUUCAUGCCCAGGUAUGUUAUAUUGUCAUAGGCCUGGACAAAAGUACUAAUGCAGUAGUAUCUAAGACACCAGACCUUCAAUUUCUGGGAAGGGAUGCAGUUUUGUGGUUGAGGAAAACAGUGGAAAGUUUGAAAUAAAAAUAAGUUCAUGUUGUUGGCAUUGGCUUACCAUGAGACUUACCAGCCGAAGCUUUGAGGUCACCUGUGGAGGCCUGCCUCUUUACCUUCUUGACUGUGGUGAUUUCUGUUGAGGUGUAAUACUGUGGAGCUUUGGGUCCCACAGUCCAUCUAACCCCUUAAACUUGCUUGUAGAUCCCCCUCGUCCUUCUCCUCAACACCCAGCACUGCCUGACCCUGCUCUUGUACUUCUAGUUUCUCCUUCCCAUCACCAUGACUUAGUGAUUCUUUUCCAUCUCAAACCCAAGUUGCUCCAGCCUCACCACGAUGUAGUAAUUUAAUGACUUCUUGGAACACCGAGCUUAAACUAAACCCAUCAAACUAACAUUUUACAUCCAUGUCUUGUGUUACAGAACCUCCGUGUAUGUCUUUUCAUUCUACUUUUGUAACAUUGAGACAGAAUUAAUCCAGAUGGAGAGUAAAGCUCCAUUAUUUUUAGACACAAUUCAAGGUUUUACAAACCCAAUACCAUCCUUUCUCAGAUUAUAUUAAUUGCUUAAAUGGUCUGUAGGAGAACAUCCAGUUCUAUUGGAGGAACAUGUGCGUGAUGUUUACCUCUAGAAUUAACAUACAUGGACAUGCGUAGGAGGCCUCUGCUUAAACUGUGAGAAAGAAAUAAACCCUUUUGGUCAUCUCUGCUCCAUGCCCCAAAAGAAAGCUACAGUGUAGGCUGUGUAUAAAAAUGUGUUGGGAGACUGAAAAAAAUACAGGUUUCAGUUAAAAAUGUGGUAUCUAUGCUAGUUAAAUAUUUAUCAAAAGUAAAUUUCACUUGAUCCAUUAAGUAUAUUGUUAGCAAAUACAAAGAGGAGGUAUACAUAGGUAUACUUGUCAUACUGAAGUGUUUAUUUACAAUAUGAAAUAAAUGUGUAUAGCACAGCUCUAGCACUAAAUUCUCACUAAGAAUACUGGGGUUUUUUAGCACAGCACAAUUUAAAACAGGAAAGAUGAUAAAAGUAGAAAAGUAGUGGUGCUGUUUUCUCUAAAUAGAAAAGAAAGAGAAGAAAGGAAAAGAAAGAAAUACUUCCAGGUAUCAGGAUAAAUAUGUAAAUUUUGCUGAGUGAGACUUUGGAUGCCAGGACACACCUGAAGAUUCUAGAAAAAGAAAUAUCAGUGGCUUUUAUUAAACUGAAGUAUAACCUGGCGGACUAAAACCAGAAAUGAAUUUCCUUCAUUUGAGGCAGAUAAGCAUACUCUUAAAAAUUUUAUUUGUACUAAAUUUUCUUUAGCAGAAAAAAGAUGGGGGUGGGUUGGUUGUUUCUCAGUUGCAGACUUGGAGAUAGGAAAGAAACUGUAAAUGUAGGGAAGAGCAAGCAAAUAAUACAUUUUUUGGGGGAAGAGGCCAGGCUGCUGCUUAUUUUGGAUAUUUCUCACCUCUAAAAGGAACUUGGCUAUCUUAAUGUAAUUUUAAUGUAAGUAUUCCUUUUCUUAACAAGAACCAUUUUCUUGAGAAAACAUAUAAUGAAAAAGUUGAACCGAAGAUCCAAAGUUAGUAUGAGAUUAUGUAGUAGUAUGAUAUAUGCAGAAGUACAUCUGUUCAUGUAAAAAAAAACCAAACCAAACUUCUUUUGUCUCCUACAUAUAUUUUGAGUGGGGCUGGAUUGUUGGGACUUUUUUGGGGUUUUUUUAAUUAACAUCCUUGCAAGAAGACAGGUUCUCUGUGUUCAGAUGCACUUAAUGAGACCCAGACUGUGUUAGAAACCUUUGUUGGUAUUAUUUCUCUUAUCAGUUGCAACUCCAACACAGAUGAGCCUAUUGAAGUCUUUCUCAUGGUACAUAUUUCUUACUCAAGCAAUUACUAUAAACGACCGAUGUGGCAUAUGACAUUUGGGUUUGUUUAUUUAACUUUCCUCAUAAUUUUCUCCCCCCAGUUCUGUCUUUUUCCAUGUCCCUAUGAAGAACUUCAUGCAUUAAAGGGAUUUGCAAGAACAACCACAUUAACUGUACUCCUGUGACCUGCAGGUGGCUCAUUACAGAAUGAGGCCGAGAUUAGUACGAUCUCAUCUUUGCUAAAUUGUCAUUGUGCUUAAUAGAUAAUUACCAGUGCUUCUGAUGGUCAAGAUGUUCUUUCGCUGCAAAUUGAAGGAGGGGAAUUUUUCUUAACCAGAGGUGGAACAAUUACAGAAAUAAGAAAAAGUUCGUUCUGGGUUAUCAUUUGUGAGAGGAGCUCUACAAAUUUUGCACUUGGCUAAUUGAAGUCUUAGAGGUUUUUGACUCCAGUUUCCAGAGUGUAUUGGCUACAGAAGGAGAAGACCCAGCCUCUUGCUGAAACCAGGAAGAGUGGCUCACCUGGAAAACCAUGGGAGAUGGAGGGCAGGUGUGUGCAGAAGCUCUGACGAGAGCUGCAGCUUGCAGUUGUGUUACCAUUUGGCAGGGAUGAGCUGUUCUCUCUCCGCAGGUGGAUUCUUCAGUUUUGUGGUGGUUGACAUUUUGUGAUACAAAAUCUGAGCUGUGUUUUAAGUUAUGCCUCCACACUUCGUACUUACAAAAACAUGCCAAAAAUGUGAACAGCUAUUUAUAAUAGUAAGCUUAAAAGUAUGAGUAACUUCAUUUCUUCUUUGGAUUGUGAAUUUAAUAACAAAUAGUAAAAGUUUAAAAUUUCACAUAAACAUUUGUAGAUUUUAAAAAGAAACAAUAGCUGAUUUUGUUGGGUUUUGUCCUGCCACAUCCAGGUGAGUUUUGCAGUAGACCAGAUGGUAGCAACCCUGGAUAAGAAGGCCAAGAUUAGGAAUAUGUCUGUGGUUGCUCAUGCUGAUUGUGGCAGAUCAACCUCGACAGACUCCUUGGUGCGUAAAGCAGGCACCAUUGCAUCAGUCAGAGCCAAAGAAACACGAUUCACAGACACAAAGAAAAAUGAGCAAGAAAGAUAUAUCACAAUCAAGUCUACGUAAGAAUUUCUUUGUUUGUUUCUUUUUAAUGUGAAGACAAAAAAAUGGUUUGCUCAAAGCCUUGCAUCUCAUCAGGUCUUUUUUAAGUUGACAUGUGAAUCCAGCUGUGCAUUACAGAACAGAAGUCUUUGGAGUGCAAUCUGGGCACUAUUGGAGUAGAGCUUUUAAGUGAUACCUAGCAACCCUUCUUACCUGCUUCUAACUACGGAGAACGAUGCUUUCAGAAAGUUUCUUAGUAGUAACCUUUCUUAUUUUUAUUUUAUUUUAUUGGGUUGCUUACAGGCUAAUACCCUGUUCCUCCAGGCCCCUGCAGUGGGCUCUGUUCUGUUGUUAUGAACUCUGAAGUCUGCAACUGCAAAGUUAAGAAGUUGUGAAGUGGUUGUGAGCGUGACUUUACAAGUGUCUGACAGUGAUAUUAUGCUGUGACUACUAUCUUGAGGUGCUGAUUUUGAGUAAGAAUAAAACCUAAUUAAACGCAAAGCAGAAUUUUAGAUGCUAAAAACUUUAGAAAUGGAAUUAUUGAAGUCCUGUGGUUAGUCCUUUAAAUACAUCAGGAAAUACUGGGACUAUAACAGAACAGGUUUGUUUGUCUGACCAGUGCAGAUUUUAAAAUCAGCAGAUUAAGAAACCUUAUUAAAUUAUUAAAAUUAAUUGUCUUCUCUUACAGGGCGAUUUCUUUGUAUUAUGAACUCUUAGACAACAACUUGGCCUUCAUCAAACAGUGUAGGAUGGUUCAUGUUAUCUCAUUAACUUAAUUGGCUCCCCUGGACAUGUUUGUUUUUCCUCUGAAGUUACAGCGGCUUUCCGUGUCACUAAUGAUGUCCUUGAUGUGGCUGACUGUGUUUCAGGGUUUGUGUACAGGCAGAGGCUGUUCUGCAGAGGCUAUUGCAGCAUGUAUCAAACCAGUACUGAUGGUGAACAAAAUGGAUCAUGGUUUCCUUGAAUUGCAGCUGGAGCCUGAGGAACUUUAGCAGAUAUUUCAGUGUGCUGUGGAAAUUGUCAGGGUCAUCAUUUCCACCUACAGAGAGGGUGAAACUAGACCAUGCAGUAUUGAAGAGUCUCGUGAACACAUCGUUGCGGGAGCAGGGCCUCUGCAUCCAGAAAUCUGCCUUAAGGAUCUGGAAGAAGAUCAUACUUCCAGAUUUAUUCCUUCACUUAUUCCAGUGAAGUGUCCAGAACAAAUGGCUGGUGAGCUCUGUGUGUGCUGAACACAAAAAGGGGACGUGUUUCUGAAGAAUCCCAGGUGGCAGGAACUCCAGCGUUUGUGGUCAAGACAUUAUCUACCUGUAAAUGAGUCAUCUGGUAGGAUACUGUGUCUCUUGUUACCCACAUGCAAUUAAAGAAAGACCUUGGCAGGA